UCGUCUCUUUUCCCCUUCUUUCUUCUGUAUUUCUUCUGAAUCUCAUCGAUUUGGAUCAAAUCAUUUGAUUCACGACAUGCAUGUCUCUUCCUGAUUCCCUACAUUCGUCUUCUUCUUAUUCUCCUGUGAUCCGCAAAGAAAUCGGGUUUCACGACCACCAAGGAAUCUUUCCAAGUAUGAUUACCGCCAUGGGAGCGUACAUGAGGGAUAGUUCGACUUCCGGAGACACUUGGUCUUACGUUGUCGUCUUCGUCGUCUACCUUCUAUAACUUUGCCAGAUCCAAUUUGAAGAAUGUGCAACGAAGUUUAUAUGAUUUGGUCGCUUUGGUUGAUAAAGUCUGUCCUACUGAUUUCUUUGGAAGGAGGUGGCUUCAUCGGAAGUAUAGCAUGUCUUUUGUGCUGUUAUGGAAUAUUGAAGUAGUCCUAGAUUUGGUUUAUGAACCUAAAUAAAACAAAAAGAAUAAGAUAGGUGUAUGUUUGCCAAUGUUAGGUAAUUUCCAUCAUUCCUAGCAGGAAAGUUGGUAAUGUCUCUAAAAACUCUAUUAAAUGUUGAAGUAAGAGGAACAAAUCCAUUAGACUGAUUAUUAUGACUAUGAGGAGUGGAACUUGGAAGUAUUUGUGUCCUCUUUGUUUGAAUUGAAACAUAUUAAAAAUCUAUAAGAGAGUUUAGCUUUUUUAGUAAUUAAGCUUGUAAUAUUGUGUUUCUUGGUGUUAGUGUUAUGAGCUGCGGUGAUGAGCCGUAUUUAUAGAGUUUAGAGGAGACGAUAGAGUUUAAUGUGAGAGAAGAGAUAAUCUUGUUGACCAAGCUAAUAAUAUCUUGAAGAUCUAAGAUUUGUGGAAUGUGUGAGUAGGAUUUAGGAUGAUUAUAAGGAAUAUGCUUCUAAUAUCUCAAUGGA